rnacentral:rRNA from 1 species
UGGGGAAUAUUGGACAAUGGGCGAAAGCCUGAUCCAGCCAUGCCGCGUGUGUGAAGAAGGUCUUCGGAUUGUAAAGCACUUUAAGUUGGGAGGAAGGGCAGUAAGCGAAUACCUUGCUGUUUUGACGUUACCGACAGAAUAAGCACCGGCGAACUCUGUGCCAGCAGCCGCGGUAAUACAGAGGGUGCAAGCGUUAAUCGGAAUUACUGGGCGUAAAGCGCGCGUAGGUGGUUCGUUAAGUUGAAUGUGAAAGCCCCGCGCUCAACCUGGGAACUGCAUCCACAACUGGCGAGCUAGAGUUGGGCAGGGGGUGGUGGAAUUUCCUGUGUAGCGGUGAAAUGCGUAGAUAUAGGAAGGAACACCAGUGGCGAAGGCGACCACCUGGGCUCAUACUGACACUGGGGUGCGAAAGCGUGGGGAGCAAACAGG